AUCACCGCUUCUUUGGCUUCUGUCUUCUUACUCUUCUUUUUCUUACCGAUACCAGGCAGACAGCUCUUUGAGAAACUUGGCAGAUGCAGGUUCUCUGUAUCAAAAACCAAUCUGGCAAUAGUUUAAGAGCUCCAACGUCUGGAAAUUGCAGUUUCCCAGUUCCACCUUUUCGCUCCUCGCAGUUGUUGAUCUUAUCGCCAAUUUUUCUCUUUGGGUCAUUGUUUUUUUUGCCAGCCAUCAAGCUUGCACGGCUACAUCGCAGGAUAAUUUAGAAAAAGGCAAAGGUAUAUUGGAUCCCCCUAUCAUUUCUGAAACAGCUACUAGCUAUAAAGCCUGUAUGACUACGUCAUCUCCUAAUUUAGACAAAGGAAAGGGUACAUUGGACCCCCCAUCAUUCGUGAAGCAGUGACUCAUCUUCCAUAUCAAGAAAUCCAUCAACUGAACACAUAUUUGAUAUACUGGGCAAUUGUUCAUGUUCACAAUGUGUCUCUAGGAUUUUUUUCAAGCCAUAAUGUCGCAAUCUCUGAUGCGCUGGGUAAGUUAUAUAUUCGUUGAUCUAAGGUUGAGUGACAUUUAAGAGCAAUAUAGAAAUCAGAUAAUUGAGGAACAUUUAAGAGAGAUCUAAGGAAAAUAAUAUAUGGAUUUACCUUCAAUAUAUCCAUCAACUUUUUCACUAUUGAUUCAUUAAUUCUUGUCGAACAAGCCAUCCUAUUGGCUAGUUCAUUAUCAUGAUCGUAGAAGUACAGCUGUAAAUUCCUAGGUUAUUCAUUGGAAGGAACUAAAUCAUCUAUGUCACGACUCAAAAUCCACUAGGGGUCGUGAUGGCGCCGGAUACCGCUAUCAGGCAAGCCAACCAAAAUACUUAAUUAAAUUCAAAUUUUAGUGCUUGUUGAAAUCAUUUUUCCUCAUACAUUUAAAUAAUAAAUAAUAAAAUUUACAGAAAUAUCCAUGGAGUCUUUAAUAAACUUAAUAUUGAACAAUCCUAUAACCAUCCCAGAACCCGGUGUCACAAGUGCAUGAGCUAUAUCUAGGAAGCAAUAUAAUACAACAUCUGUCUGGGAUACAAAUUGGACAGAAAGUAAAUACAAAAAAAUCUGAGAGAGACUCUGCCGGCUAUGGGUCACCUCAAGAAGUACAGCUCACCUGAGUCUCUAUAUCAACCAUGUAGCUACGCCCGCUAGGCCACUAGAAAUGCAUGUGCCUGUGCAACAAAAAUGCACAACAAGUGUAGCAUGAGUACGAAAACAACGUGUACUCAGCAAGUAUCUCGUCUAAUCUCGAAGAAGUAGAGAUGAGAGGUGGACUUCGACACUUGCUAGUGGUCCAAUAAUAACAUAGUAAAAAUGUGAGGAAAUCAUGGAUUUAUAUAGCAAUUAUAACUCAUAAAGCCGGAAAGCAGGUAAACACCUUCUCAAAUAAUAAAGGAAUUCCAAAAUUAAUUUUUCUUUAUCUUUAUCAAUUUACAUCGGGCCAGGAAGGGCAAAUAUCAACAUUAAAAAUUUCCAGGCAAGCCAUACAAGCAUACGCAUAUCAUGCCGAGGUCGUACGGCCCGAUCCAAUAGAAAUGUAAAUUGUGCAUUGC